rnacentral:misc_RNA from 1 species
UAAUAAGUGUUUCUAUGGCACUUGUUUAAAUCCAUAUCCACCUUGUGUGCAAUGUCAGUCGAUCGUUUCUAUCAUGGAGAUCGACCAAACCAUGCAACCUUAUCUUUUAACUCUUUGUCUGAAAAAAUAUUAUGAAUAAACAAUUCAAAAUA